rnacentral:lncRNA from 1 species
UGUGUGCAUAUGUGUAUCUGCUGUGGGGGUGAUUUUGUGUGAGAGAAGUCAGGCCAGUCGCCCUGUCAAAUGGAAGACAGGCUGGACAGAUGUGGGUACGCUGUUUACUUGUCUCAUCGAAUGUUGAUUCUGCUGCUCUUCUGUGUCCCAUGCAGCAAGCAGGAAGACAGAGCCUGUGCAGCCAGAGCAGGACUGCACGCUUCCUCUCCCAUGAGGCCUUGGGUGGCGUGGAGCCUCUGAGAGAGCCCGGUUCCUGCUCUGAAUGCCAACAUGAAGGUCUACAUAUUUUUCGUGUCAGCUCUACUCCCAGGCACCUUUGUUUUCCAGCCUGCCUGCGUGCCUCCCCUUAACAGCUGGACACAUCACCAUCCCAUUUUUCUAUUGGUUGUGACUGAAGUAGCUUGAGGUCAAUUAUUUCCCCAGCAAUUGACAAAGAGUCUUGACGAAGAGGAAAGUGACAUUGUCCCUUGAACAACACUGCCCCCUCCUCCUCCCCCUGCCCUCCUGGUUGAGAGGCGGGCAGACUCUUUUUGCUAGGAGCCCAGCGGGGCAGUGGCGGUGGAGUCUGUGGAAGUGCGUGGGUGACAUAUGGCAAGUGGAGAAAAUAUUUAUAUUCAUGGGGACAGAGCAGGAGAUCCAAAGAAGGUCAUACCACAGAGAUUUCAAGCAGGAGACAGACGCACAGACUCGAUACUCUGUCUUUGGUUGGACACGACAGAGAAUUUAAAGGAAGAGUUUCCUUGCUUUCGCUGUCAUCUUUGCACUUCUAAACAAUCUGAAUUGUGGACUGUUUGAAAAAGGGAAUAUCCUUUGUGCCUAAGCUCCAAGAAACGAUCACAGGGGGCCUUCCCGGGCCCGCUGCCACCGCCCUCCCCUUCUCUGCCUCUGCUCCCGAGACAAGAAUUCAAAGCCACUUUCUCUGGUUCUUGUGCCUUGGGCCGGUAGGAGUUUCUUCCCUGCUUUUGAUUGGGAGGCCAGUUCAAAGCGGGCAUUUGGGCAAAUGGUUCUUGGGGGGAGGUAUAAAUAAUUGAAGGGUGUUACAUUACUCUCUGAUGAGACACCAGAAACCUCGCGUCUUCUCCAGGGCUUUCCAGCCGGCGUUUUGCGCCACAGCUUCCGAAGAAAGCUAAAGCCCGGCUGUUGUCCAACGCCCGUGGGGCCCCGAGCAGACGCUCCUCGGCUCCCCGCGACCCUCAGACACGUGGACUGACGGACACACGUGCGCCUGUCUCCACGCCCGCCUUCCCGCUCGCGUUAAGCGCAGCGGACUUGGACUUGCGUGGAGAGUCAGGACCGCGAGGGGGUCAGUUCCCAGAUCGCUGUCACAAGGGAGGUGUGAACCCGGAGGAC